rnacentral:rRNA from 1 species
AUGAACGCUGGCGGCGUGCCUAAUACAUGCAAGUCGAGCGAACGGACGAGAAGCUUGCUUCUCUGAUGUUAGCGGCGGACGGGUGAGUAACACGUGGAUAACCUACCUAUAGGACUGGGAUAACUUCGGGAAACCGGAGCUAAUACCGGAUAAUAUUUUGAACCGCAUGGUUCAAAAGUGAAAGACGGUCUUGCUGUCACUUAUAGAUGGAUCCGCGCUGCAUUAGCUAGUUGGUAAGGUAACGGCUUACCAAGGCAACGAUGCAUAGCCGACCUGAGAGGGUGAUCGGCCACACUGGAACUGAGACACGGUCCAGACUCCUACGGGAGGCAGCAGUAGGGAAUCUUCCGCAAUGGGCGAAAGCCUGACGGAGCAACGCCGCGUGAGUGAUGAAGGUCUUCGGAUCGUAAAACUCUGUUAUUAGGGAAGAACAUAUGUGUAAGUAACUGUGCACAUCUUGACGGUACCUAAUCAGAAAGCCACGGCUAACUACGUG